CACAAGCGGUGGAGUAUGUGGUUUAAUUCGAUGCAACGCGAAGAACCUUCCCUGGUCUUGACAUCCCGGAGACCCUUAGGAACUAGGGGUGCUUCCAUCUGGAAGAAUCUGGAGACAGGUGCUGCAUGGCUGUCGUCAGCUCGUGUCGUGAGAUGUUGGGUUAAGUCCCGCAACGAGCGCAACCCUUGCCUUUAGUUGCCAGCAGUUCGGCUGGGCACUCUAAAGGGACUGCCGGUGUUAAACCGGAGGAAGGUGGGGAUGACGUCAAGUCCUCAUGGCCUUUAUGACCAGGGCUACACACGUACUACAAUGGCCGAUACAAAGGGCAGCGACACUGCGAGGUGAAGCCAAUCCCGUAAAAUCGGUCUCAGUCCGGAUUGGAGUCUGCAACUCGACUCCAUGAAGUUGGAAUCGCUAGUAAUCGUGGAUCAGCAUGCCACGGUGAAUACGUUCCCGGGCCUU
rnacentral:rRNA from 1 species